GGACAUAACCCUGGAGAGACUCUUUACAUUAAUAAUUAAAGAGCAUCAACGAAGCAACCUUUAUAGGGAAUCUUUCAGAUAAAAGGACAGGGAGUAAAAA
rnacentral:ncRNA from 1 species